rnacentral:lncRNA from 1 species
CCAGUUUUGCUCCCAUAGUCGUAUCCAAGAUCACACAAGGGAGGUCUGUCAACAUACUCCCAAAAAUGUACAUGGGGAUUCCCAAAACAAUGAGAUGGCAGAAGAAGAAAUGAGGAACCAGCAAUCUGAUAGCAACAUCAACAAUCAAAUCAACAAAGGCAACAAGUUUAGUUCAAAUAUGGCCACUUCUAGCGCUGUCAAUACACAACAUGGAACACAAAAGAUGAAAGUAGAUAUAAGUAUGAACAACAAACAAGACACUACUACUUCCAAAUCUACUAUGGAGGAAGGAUGGCAACAAGUUGACAAAAGAAAAGGAAAAGAAAAAGGCAAAAACAGUAUCAAUGGGAACUCUUCUCCAAAGAACCCUCAGAGGAGAAUGAAGGCUUAUAUCAAGGCAAAAACUAUCAGCUUAAUAGCAAUAUGUUCAAUCAACUAGCUGAGAAGAAAAUAAUGGAGCAAACGAUGGAUACUAGCACAGAUAAGGAGAACAAUGUACAAGGUAAAGCUGGGGAAGACUCUAAUUUUCAGUUUGGAAUGAACUCUAGAUGGGACAGGGAGCACAACAACAAAUAAAGGAAAGGAAGCAGAACAAGAAUGAAAUGCACCACCAUAAUCUUAGAGUCAGCAAGAACAGAAAUGAACCCUUGUCUUAUAUGGAGAACAUCGAACAACAAGCACAAAGCAGUAAGGAGUUCUGGACUAGUAAUGAAGCCAAUAAUAGCAAAAGGGUUCCCACCGAGAAACAAAGAUUCAAAGACAAAGUUAGCACCUCUAAUAGAGGAUACUACCAAGAGAGAGGAUCAAUUGUCCGAGACUAUACCCCUAUAGACCCCCAUAAACUUCCUCUGAAGCAGGUCACCUCUAAUAUCAAGGAGAAGGUAGCCAGCCUGACCAACAAGGCCCAGGAACUGGAUAUACUGAAGGUGAAAAUGGGAAAUGGACCUCAAAAUCCUGAGCCUGGCCCUCCAGACUCAAUAGAUGAGCUUAUUGGUGUUUCAGUUGUCCAAGUGCAAGACAUAGUUGUGUUAACGAGCGACAAGCUCAACCAGGAAAUAUUUAUAGAAUGCAUCUAUGAGGUUAUUCAAAAAUCUUUAUUCGACGAUGAAGUUAUCAGGAGGGGUACCGGAAAUCCCCACUCUGAAGAGUCGCUCUACUUGAGAGACAAGGAGCUGACUAAUAUCUCCAAUAUCAACAACAUGUCCCCAAGGAAUUAACACAAUAUUGGAGGGAGUCAGUUUUUCAGAGACAAUUCUCUUGACUCCUCAAUGGCAGUUCAAAGCACCCUCAAUUAUAAUACUUCCAAUGAUUAAUACAAUAUAGUGGAAUAUCAGGCUUUCUUUAAUUGCUCUAACAAGGUUUGGCUGUUUUGGACUAAUGACAUCAACAUAACUAUUCUUCAAGACAAAGAACAACAUGCUCACAUUAAGGCUGACCACAAUAGUUGCCCCUCCUUUCUACUAACGUUUGUUUAUGCUAAAUGCUCUAUAGAUUUGAGGAGGGAGUUAUGGUCGGACCUAAGAGACUAAGCUACCGCCAUUCAAGAUCCAUGGGGGUCAUUGGAGACUUUAAUGUGAUCACUAAUAGAGAGAAAACAUUGUGUGGCAGACUACACAGACUAGAGUAGAGUAAAGUCUAGACUUCAUAGGUUAUCUCAACGAAUGUGGUAUACAAGAUGCUGGUUUUACUGGUGCUAAAGUUACCUGGUGUCAUAACAGGGAUUCGCCCCUCACUAUAUGAAAAAUACUCGACAGAUUGGUAUAUAAUUCUAGUUGAUUUGAUACUCCUAAUAGCAUAGCAGUCACACACCUCUCCAGAUCCUGCUCAGAUCAUGCUCCACUUUUGGUGAAGCUACAUCAUGAAGAUAUUCAAGGUACUAGGCACUUCAAGUUUCUUAACUUCUAGAUUGAACACCCUGAAUUCUUUCAGAUAGUGCAGAACAGCUGGGGUAUUUAUAUCCAAAAUAAUUCUUUAUAUAUUUUGUAUCAGAAGAUAAAGAAUACUACUAAGGCACUUAGUACAUGGUCCAGAAAAACUUUUGGAGAUAUCUUUGAGGAACCUAAAAGGUUAAAAAAUCUCAUUAGGGACCUGGAAGAGAACUGAAUGACCAAUGAUACUUCAAAGAAUAGAUGUGAGCUAUUCAAGAGUAAAACUGAGUUUAUAAGAUACCUAAAGAUUCAAGACUCUAUUUUGAGCCAAAAGCUAGAGCUAAAUGGUUCAAUGAGGGAGAUGCCAAUACUGCCUACUUCCAUGCUACUAUUAAGGACAAAAGAAGAAAGUUGACUAUUAGAGGGAUUCAAGAUGAAUGAGGUAACUGGUUUGAAGAUUAUGAGUCUAUUACUGAGGAAGAUGUGAACUUUUACAAGAACCUCUUUUCUAAAGACUCCAGCAACAUUGAUUUUAGAACUCUCAACUGUAUUUAAAGAUGUAUCACAGAAGAUGAUAACAUCAGAAUCAAUGUCAUUCCUACUCUCCAAGAAGUAACAGACACUAUGUUAUCCAUUUAUGCCAAUAGUUCUCCAGGACCUGAUGGACUUAGUGGGAUGUUCUAUCACAAAUGUUGGGACAUUAUCUCUGAAAAUGUGCAUAAUGCUGUCAAAGUUGUUUUUAGAGGCUCUACACUUACUAAAUUCUAUACUCAUACAUGUAAUAUCAUGAUUCCUAAAGUUGAGCACCCCAAAGUUUUUCAUACCUCAUACCAAUUAGCCUUUGUAAUGUGUCUUCCAAAAUCAUAUCUAAAAUUCUCAACUUAGGCUCUCCAAUAUACUACCUAGGGUCAUCUCCAGAAACCAAACGGAUUCAUCAAGGGGAGAUCAAUCUCAGAAAAUAUUUUCCUUGCACAGGAGAUCAUUAGUGACAUCAACAAACCAAAUAAGCGAGGCAAUGUUGUCAUAAAACUUGGCAUGACUAAAGCCUAUGACAGAGUCUCAUGGACUUUCCUUGGGAAAAUCAUAAAGAAGAUUGGUUUCAGUGAUAAGUGGAUUGAGAUUAUUCACAAGUAUAUCUCCAAUAAUUAGUAUUACGUGCUUGUUAAUGGAAGAAGAAAAGGUUUCUUCCAAUCUGGAAUGGGCUUAAGAUAGGGAGACCCUCUCUCCCCUUCACUUUUUAUUUUGAGUGCUGAAAUUCUUUCUCAAAUGAUGAACAAUUUAUAUAAUAGAUCUGGUUACAAAAGUUUUUAUAUGAAAACUAACUGUCCUAAAGUUAACCAUCUGUCAUUUGCAGAUGACACGAUUCUUUUCUGCAAUGGAGACAAGAGGUCCAUGAGAAUGGUUUUGAGUACCUUUUAACUGAAUAUGAGAAGAACUCUGGACAGCUCAUCAACAAGAACAAGAGUUGUUUCGCAAUGAGCACCAAGACAAAUUUGAUCACUAUCAACAGAAUGAAGGCUAUCCCUGGCAUGAAAUAUCAAAAAGUUUUCCAUUAAAUAUCUAGGAUACCCUCUAACAACACAGAGAAAGAAGAUUGAGUUUUACUCAGCUAUUGUGAACAAAAUUAUUGGUAGAAUCAAAGGGUGGCAUACCAAAAUCCUCUCCACUGGGGGAAGAGCUAUCCUCAUCAGACAUAUUCUUCUGGCUCUCCUUAUACAUCUAUUGGCUGUUGCGAAUCCACCCAAAUGGAUUCUAGAGCUCAUAGAGAAAUUUGUAGCCAGAUUCUUCUGGUCAGGGCAAGAACGUGGAGGAAAGUAUCAUUGGGAUGCAUGGAAGAACUUGUGCUACCCUUAUGGUAAAGGUGGUGCUACUUUUAGGAGGCUCAUUAAUACUUGCAAAGCUUUUAGAGCUAAAUAGUGGUGGGCCCUCAGAAUUACUAACUCUCUCUAAGGUUCUUUCAUGGUUGUUAAAUACUGCGAAUUGAAUCAUCCCAUAACUACCAACUGGAAUAAGGGGAACUCGCCAAACUAGAACGCCAUCUAUGACAUCAAAGAAGAAAUGGAUCUCAAUAUUGUUUGGAACAUUGGAAAAGGAGAUAUCUCCUUUUGGUUUGACAAUUGGUGCCCCUUGGGACCCCUAUACAAGAUUACUCCCUCAGAGGUCUCCCUACCUAAUAUUAAGCUGAAUGAGAUCCUUCAACACAAAACCUGGAACAAGCUCACAACUCAACCCAAUAAAGACACCAAAACUCAUCUUUUAUCUUUGGGCAUUAAGUUAGACAUCAAUUGCCACGAUAAAGCUAACUAGAGCCUUUCCAAUUCAGAAAGAUUUACCAUUAGCUCCACCUGAAAUUCCAUAAGGCAAAGGAACGACUAUAACCCUUUCUAUAACAACUUAUGAACAAAAGAGGUACCUCUCAAGAUGUCUUUUUUCUUGUGGAGAGUAGUUGGUAACAAGCUCUGCACUGACAAGAGAGUGGCUACACUUGGUAUCACUCUAUACCUCCAAUGUUAUUGUUGUAAUCCUGCUAUUAGCUUAACUGAGCUUGAAGACAUAAACCACCUAAUCAGUCAAGGUGAUCUUGCUAGGAAAAUUUGGAGGAAAUUUGUGCCCCUUGGAUAUUAGUUGGAAUAGCAACAAUCUGAACAUGACUCUUUUGAGUUGGUGAAAUCACAAAUUGUCCAAUCCAAUCGCUAAAUUCAUCAUCAAGAACCUCCCUCCUAUCAUUUGCUGGGAGCUCUAGAGAUCUAGAUGUUGCAACAAGUUUGAAGGGACUAGACUCUCAAUAUAUAAAAUCAAUUCUAAUAUAACUAAUUUUCUUUUGCAGUUAAUCAAGAAACAAUUUAGCAGAGUUCGAAUUGGAGAUAGCUGGAACAGCAUAUGCAUAGCAUGUGAAGCCCACAUUCAAUAACUAACAGCUUUCUAGUGAAAUGGGUUAGACCACCUGCACAAAUAGCCAAGCUUAACAAUGAUGGAAGUUGCUCUAAUGGUCCAUGUGGAGGGGGAGGAAUCAUUAGAGACCAAGAAGGAAAUUUGCAUAUCUAUCUACUCUAUCUCUUUAGGAGCAGGCACAAGAAAUUAUGCAGAAGCUGAAGCACUACUCUUUGGUUUGAAAUGGUGUACCGAUAGAGGCCUAAACAUGGUCAGGAGAAUCUGAUUCACUCCUAAUGGUCAAGUGUGCUAAAAGAGAGUGAAAACCUCCAUGGAAUAUCAACAACCAAAUAAAAUAGACCCAGAAAAUGACUAAAGAUCACAACUUCAACAUCAAUCACUGCUUCAGAGAAGCUAAUAGACCAGCCGACAAUUUAGCAACUCUGAGUCACAGAAUUGAAGGAAUCAAGAUUUUCAACCUUUUCUCCUGUCUUCCUAGCCAUAUAAGGGGCUUAUUAAAUAUGGAUAAAUGGAGCUUCAACUUUUAGAAUAAAGCCCACAAAACUAUCUAACAUCAUCUAUGAUCAUCCUUGAGCUAACUUUGUUUAUGCUAUCCUUUAGUUAGGAUAUAGAGUAGAAGUCACAACUCAAUGAUCAUGUACAAAGUUUGGGAUGCCAAACUCAAUAUGUAUCUUUUUGCUGAUCAGUGGUGAUUGUUUAAUUAAAAAAAACACACAAGUUCAGAUUAGAUAUUUUUUUUCUAAAAAUGGAAAAUGAUCGUCGUUGCGCUAGUUCAGAUUAGACGCGCAAAACAAUAUAUAUUUGAAAUGGAACGUGCAAAUCAGAAUAUAUCAGAGUUUAUAAAUGCUUAAUUUUUUAGCAUCACAAGUAAGUAACAUACUCAAGAACAAAGACAUAUGAACUGCACCGGCCUAAUCAAUCUUAUCUGAUCCAUCAAGGCAGUGUUUUCCAAUGGGAUAACUCGUAACAGAGAAGAUCAUUAACACUUACGAACUGCACCAGCCUAAUAUCAAUCUUUCCAUCUGUGUUUCUCUUGUCUAUGUUUGUUUCUUUCGGUCCCAAAGUAAAGAAAAUUAGUCAAGGGGUCUCCCAUAGCGAACGAGGACUUAAACAGAUAAGUAAUCCACAUAUUUUAAUAUUUU